UACGAAGGGUGCAAACGUUGCUCGGAAUUAUUGGGCGUAAAGAGCGUGUAGGCGGCCAGGUAGGUCCGUUGUGAAAACUCGAGGCUUAACCUCGAGACGUCGAUGGAAACCAUCUGGCUAGAGUCCGGAAGAGGAGAGUGGAAUUCCUGGUGUAGCGGUGAAAUGCGCAGAUAUCAGGAAGAACACCCGUGGCGAAGGCGGCUCUCUGGGCCGAUAUCGACGCUGAGGAGCGAAAGCGUGGGGAGCGAACAGG
rnacentral:rRNA from 1 species